CCUGCAGGGAGCCAGACAACGGGGUGCAGAGCACCAACCAUCUCCUAGCGGACCUGGAGCCAGAAGCUGGCUUCACAUUGCUGGAAUCCAGCCGCAAGGAAGAACUCGGUGGAGAUAGAGAAUAUCUGUUUAUCUAGACAAGGAAGGAGGAAAGAGAAGGACUUUGGAGCACUGGCCCUUACAGCCUCUCUGCAUGCAGAGCACAGCCUGUGUCUUUCACAGGGACUGUAUUAAAAUCUUUCUCACUCUGGGCCUUUAUCCUGAGACUGUGAGGAAUGGCAGGAACAUUAAAGUUAUUGGAGUUGCCCCAGUGAUGGAUUUGUCACACAAAAUACCACAGCUGAAUGCAGUGUCACUUACUAGUCCAGCUUAUGUCUGUUUUGGUACUUUCUGA
rnacentral:lncRNA from 1 species